rnacentral:rRNA from 1 species
GACGAACGCUGGCGGCGUGCUUAACACAUGCAAGUCGAACGGAAAGGCCCUGCUUGCAGGGUACUCGAGUGGCCAACGGGUGAGUAACACGUGGGUGAUCUGCCCUGCACUUCGGGAUAAGCCUGGGAAACUGGGUCUAAUACCGGAUAGGAGCCAUUUUUAGUGUGAUGGUUGGAAAGUUUUUUCGGUGUAGGAUGAGCUCGCGGCCUAUCAGCUUGUUGGUGGGGUAAUGGCCUACCAAGGCGGCGACGGGUAGCCGGCCUGAGAGGGUGGACGGCCACAUUGGGACCGAGAUACGGCCCAGAGUGCGACGGGAGGAAGAAGUGGGGAAUAUUGAACAAUGGGAGCAAGCCUGAUGCAGCGACGCCGCGUGGGGGAUGACGGCCUUCGGGUUGUAAACUCCUUUCGCUAGGGACGAAGCUUUUUGUGGCGGUACCUAGAUAAGAAGCACCGGCUAACUACGUG